UUAAGUUAUUAAGGGCGCACGGUGGAUGCCUUGGCACUAGAAGCCGAUGAAGGACGUUACUAACGACGAUAUGCUUUGGGGAGCUGUAAGUAAGCUUUGAUCCAGAGAUUUCCGAAUGGGGAAACCCAGCAUGAGUUAUGUCAUGUUAUCGAUAUGUGAAUACAUAGCAUAUCAGAAGGCACACCCGGAGAACUGAAACAUCUUAGUACCCGGAGGAAGAGAAAGAAAAUUCGAUUCCCUUAGUAGCGGCGAGCGAAACGGGAAGAGCCCAAACCAACAAGCUUGCUUGUUGGGGUUGUAGGACACUCUAUACGGAGUUACAAAGGACGACAUUAGACGAAUCAUCUGGAAAGAUGAAUCAAAGAAGGUAAUAAUCCUGUAGUCGAUAAUGUUGUCUCUCUUGAGUGGAUCCUGAGUACGACGGAGCACGUGAAAUUCCGUCGGAAUCUGGGAGGACCAUCUCCUAAGGCUAAAUACUCUCUAGUGACCGAUAGUGAACCAGUACCGUGAGGGAAAGGUGAAAAGCACCCCGGAAGGGGAGUGAAACAGAACCUGAAACCGUGUGCUUACAAGUAGUCAGAGCCUGUUAAUGGGUGAUGGCGUGCCUUUUGUAGAAUGAACCGGCGAGUUACGAUUUGAUGCAAGGUUAAGCAGUAAAUGUGGAGCCGUAGCGAAAGCGAGUCUGAAUAGGGCGUUUAGUAUUUGGUCGUAGACCCGAAACCAGGUGAUCUACCCUUGGUCAGGUUGAAGUUCAGGUAACACUGAAUGGAGGACCGAACCGACUUACGUUGAAAAGUGAGCGGAUGAACUGAGGGUAGCGGAGAAAUUCCAAUCGAACCUGGAGAUAGCUGGUUCUCUCCGAAAUAGCUUUAGGGCUAGCCUCAAGUGAUGAUUAUUGGAGGUAGAGCACUGUUUGGACGAGGGGCCCCUCUCGGGUUACCGAAUUCAGACAAACUCCGAAUGCCAAUUAAUUUAACUUGGGAGUCAGAACAUGGGUGAUAAGGUCCGUGUUCGAAAGGGAAACAGCCCAGACCACCAGCUAAGGUCCCAAAAUAUAUGUUAAGUGGAAAAGGAUGUGGCGUUGCCCAGACAACUAGGAUGUUGGCUUAGAAGCAGCCAUCAUUUAAAGAGUGCGUAAUAGCUCACUAGUCGAGUGACACUGCGCCGAAAAUGUACCGGGGCUAAACAUAUUACCGAAGCUGUGGAUUGUCCUUUGGACAAUGGUAGGAGAGCGUUCUAAGGGCGUUGAAGCAUGAUCGUAAGGACAUGUGGAGCGCUUAGAAGUGAGAAUGCCGGUGUGAGUAGCGAAAGACGGGUGAGAAUCCCGUCCACCGAUUGACUAAGGUUUCCAGAGGAAGGCUCGUCCGCUCUGGGUUAGUCGGGUCCUAAGCUGAGGCCGACAGGCGUAGGCGAUGGAUAACAGGUUGAUAUUCCUGUACCACCUAUAAUCGUUUUAAUCGAUGGGGGGACGCAGUAGGAUAGGCGAAGCGUGCGAUUGGAUUGCACGUCUAAGCAGUAAGGCUGAGUAUUAGGCAAAUCCGGUACUCGUUAAGGCUGAGCUGUGAUGGGGAGAAGACAUUGUGUCUUCGAGUCGUUGAUUUCACACUGCCGAGAAAAGCCUCUAGAUAGAAAAUAGGUGCCCGUACCGCAAACCGACACAGGUAGUCAAGAUGAGAAUUCUAAGGUGAGCGAGCGAACUCUCGUUAAGGAACUCGGCAAAAUGACCCCGUAACUUCGGGAGAAGGGGUGCUCUUUAGGGUUAACGCCCAGAAGAGCCGCAGUGAAUAGGCCCAAGCGACUGUUUAUCAAAAACACAGGUCUCUGCUAAACCGUAAGGUGAUGUAUAGGGGCUGACGCCUGCCCGGUGCUGGAAGGUUAAGAGGAGUGGUUAGCUUCUGCGAAGCUACGAAUCGAAGCCCCAGUAAACGGCGGCCGUAACUAUAACGGUCCUAAGGUAGCGAAAUUCCUUGUCGGGUAAGUUCCGACCCGCACGAAAGGCGUAACGAUUUGGGCACUGUCUCAACGAGAGACUCGGUGAAAUCAUAGUACCUGUGAAGAUGCAGGUUACCCGCGACAGGACGGAAAGACCCCGUGGAGCUUUACUGUAGCCUGAUAUUGAAAUUCGGCACAGCUUGUACAGGAUAGGUAGGAGCCUUUGAAACGUGAGCGCUAGCUUACGUGGAGGCGCUGGUGGGAUACUACCCUAGCUGUGUUGGCUUUCUAACCCGCACCACUUAUCGUGGUGGGAGACAGUGUCAGGCGGGCAGUUUGACUGGGGCGGUCGCCUCCUAAAAGGUAACGGAGGCGCUCAAAGGUUCCCUCAGAAUGGUUGGAAAUCAUUCAUAGAGUGUAAAGGCAUAAGGGAGCUUGACUGCGAGACCUACAAGUCGAGCAGGGUCGAAAGACGGACUUAGUGAUCCGGUGGUUCCGCAUGGAAGGGCCAUCGCUCAACGGAUAAAAGCUACCCCGGGGAUAACAGGCUUAUCUCCCCCAAGAGUUCACAUCGACGGGGAGGUUUGGCACCUCGAUGUCGGCUCAUCGCAUCCUGGGGCUGUAGUCGGUCCCAAGGGUUGGGCUGUUCGCCCAUUAAAGCGGUACGCGAGCUGGGUUCAGAACGUCGUGAGACAGUUCGGUCCCUAUCCGUCGUGGGCGUAGGAAAUUUGAGAGGAGCUGUCCUUAGUACGAGAGGACCGGGAUGGACAUACCUCUGGUGUACCAGUUGUCGUGCCAACGGCAUAGCUGGGUAGCUAUGUGUGGACGGGAUAAGUGCUGAAAGCAUCUAAGCAUGAAGCCCCCCUCAAGAUGAGAUUUCCCAACUUCGGUUAUAAGAUCCCUCAAAGAUGAUGAGGUUAAUAGGUUCGAGGUGGAAGCAUGGUGACAUGUGGAGCUGACGAAUACUAAUCGAUCGAAGACUUAAUCAA
rnacentral:rRNA from 1 species